UCUCACAUGGUGGUUUGUCUUCUGUGCAGGUGGUGCAAGGUGUAGUAGAUUAUCAAGAUGAACGACAACGCGCGGUUUUCAGCUUCAGUUCUAUAUUCAAGGAGGCAGUGGCCAGAGAAACUCAUCUCAGAUGGCAAGGGGAUUGCACAGCUACACAGCCAAGAUGCUGAAGAUCAGGGGUGGCCAACCCACUAGUCGAGGACCACUGCCCUGCAUGUUUUCCACCUGUCCCUUCCCUACCCGCUGCUGAUUACCUGGAUCAGUGUACUUGAAGACCUGUUAGUCAUCAAGCCCAGAACUCGGAGCCACACAACCCAGUGAGGAAGAUGACCUAAAACCUCAUGGGCUUGCACGCAGAUGGAUGAUGUCCUGAUGUCAAGAUCUGCUACAACAGUUGGUGGUAUCCCUGGCUCACAUUUCUGAUAAGCAGUCACCGGCCACGUUAACUCGCCCAGUGUUUAUUUACCAUCUUGUCUGUUCUGCCGUGAUGCUUUUCUUUUCUCUAUCCACUCAACCCAAUGAGUUGAGGCAGAAAGCCACCUGAACUGAAAGUUGUUUCAACUCAAACUGUCUGGUCCUGCUCUGCAGUUGUUGAAGGUCUAAAAUGCCACAGGUUGGGUCAGGGCUUCCAGUUCUUCACUGUCCAGGAGUGAGAUCAUGUGAGCCCGUGCUCCAGCAUGAUCCAUGUCCUAAUCUGGAAACUGGUCCCCCUGAAAUUAAUAAGUGUGGAGAGUGCUCUGAAAUACACCGAUCAGUCAUAACAUUAUGACCAUCUGUAUGCACUCCAA